AGAGUUUGAUCCUGGCUCAGAUUGAACGCUGGCGGCAGGGCUAACACAUGCAAGUCGAGCGGAUGAGAGGAGCUUGCUCCUUGAUUUAGCGGCGGACGGGUGAGUAAUGCCUAGGAAUCUGCCUGGUAGUGGGGGAUAACGUCCGGAAACGGGCGCUAAUACCGCAUACGUCCUACGGGAGAAAGCAGGGGACCUUCGGGCCUUGCGCUAUCAGAUGAGCCUAGGUCGGAUUAGCUAGUUGGUGAGGUAAUGGCACACCAAGGCGACGAUCCGUAACUGGUCUGAGAGGAUGAUCAGUCACACUGGAACUGAGACACGGUCCAGACUCCUACGGGAGGCAGCAGUGGGGAAUAUUGGACAAUGGGCGAAAGCCUGAUCCAGCCAUGCCGCGUGUGUGAAGAAGGUCUUCGGAUUGU
rnacentral:rRNA from 1 species